AAAUUGAAGAGUUUGAUCAUGGCUCAGAUUGAACGCUGGCGGCAGGCCUAACACAUGCAAGUCGAACGGUAACAGGAAGCAGCUUGCUGCUUCGCUGACGAGUGGCGGACGGGUGAGUAAUGUCUGGGAAACUGCCUGAUGGAGGGGGAUAACUACUGGAAACGGUGGCUAAUACCGCAUAACGUCGCAAGACCAAAGAGGGGGACCUUCGGGCCUCUUGCCAUCAGAUGUGCCCAGAUGGGAUUAGCUUGUUGGUGAGGUAACGGCUCACCAAGGCGACGAUCCCUAGCUGGUCUGAGAGGAUGACCAGCCACACUGGAACUGAGACACGGUCCAGACUCCUACGGGAGGCAGCAGUGGGGAAUAUUGCACAAUGGGCGCAAGCCUGAUGCAGCCAUGCCGCGUGUAUGAAGAAGGCCUUCGGGUUGUAAAGUACUUUCAGCGGGGAGGAAGGUGUUGCGGUUAAUAACCGCAGCAAUUGACGUUACCCGCAGAAGAAGCACCGGCUAACUCCGUGCCAGCAGCCGCGGUAAUACGGAGGGUGCAAGCGUUAAUCGGAAUUACUGGG
rnacentral:rRNA from 3 species